UACGUAGGGUGCGAGCGUUGUCCGGAAUUAUUGGGCGUAAAGAGCUUGUAGGCGGUCUGUCGCGUCUGCUGUGAAAAUCCGGGGCUCAACCCCGGACUUGCAGUGGGUACGGGCAGACUAGAGUGUGGUAGGGGAGACUGGAAGUUCCUGGUGAUAGCGGUGAAAUGCGCAGAUAUCAGGAGGAACACCGGUGGCGAAGGCGGAUCUCUGGGCCUUACCUGACGCUGGAGGCGCGGAAAGCCUAGGGGAGCGAACAGG
rnacentral:rRNA from 1 species